GAUACAGGCUCAGUGGCGUAUCAAACUGAUGAGCAGAGAGGUGUCUGCUAUGCACCUACACUACUGCAGUCUACAGUUGGGUGGUCCUAAUCACAAUCUAGAAACUGUUUCCUGGGCCUUUGCUAAAAAGUGGCUGAAAAUUCAAGAUCCCCUGAAUCAGCAGCAGUACAAGGGUUCUUCGGUUAAUUUAGCAAACGUAAUUGCUUUAGCAAAGGUCAUGAAAAGUGUGACUCUGGAAUAUCAAAUUGAGUCCAAACCUACAUGUAUUCAUAUGUACAAAUACUAGUGAAUGAAAAAAAAAAAAUAAAAUCUUCUCACAGUAAUGACAUUUCCCAGGACUAAAGAACAAAAGGAUCACUGGGAAUCGGCAAAAUAAAAACAAGGGAGAAAAAAAGACUUAAUUAUGCUCUAUAGAAAAAAAGGUUAAUAUUUAAUAUAAAUUACUAUUGUGUUGCACAGAAUACUAUGGUGACAGCAAGCUAGCAAGGGUGUGAAACUGAAAGAAAGCAAUGCUUUUAUACUACUGCUCUGUAUUCCUGGUAUAUCCUUCCUUAACAUAAGUGUUAACAUUAAAUAUAAUGCUACAAUGUG